AUCCCGACACUCUACCAAACUGGACUGCUGGUAUAUCCGUGAAGUGUUUGCAAGUGGAUGGAGCUGCUGGUGCUUAUCUGUGAACUGAAUUGCUGGUUUCCUGACAAAGCAGAUGGGAUUUGCUCCAAAGAACCUUCUAAACAGGAGAGCUUUUAAAGAUAAGACCAAGGAAGAUUGCAUCAGAUAUUUUGAAGCAAUACGUGUCGGCCACGAUGAUUAAUAACAGGAGUGAUGUCAGUCGGAGGUUGAACAGUCUUGCUGAGUGGGCAUCCUUGUAGUGCCUGCACGUGCGGUGGCCUCUGUGCAAGUUUACAGUUGGCCUGAGACAGAAGCAAUCAUGCUGGAACAGUCCUUCCUCAUGACUGUAAGACUCCACUUUCUUUCCUUUGGGUCUGAUUAAAUUGACACAGUGAUUCUGACAA